UUUUUUAAUGCUCGUUCAUGACACGACAGUCUUCACAUUUGAGAGCAAGACGAUAUAUGCACUUAUAUAGAGCCGUCUCGCUCUCAUGGACUCUCAUUCGACGUGAAGAUAGCCUAAAGUCGUAGGCGCGGUUAUGUUGUUCAAUAUUUUCAAGUUUGUAUAAUUAGUAGGAUUUGAUUGAAAUUUUUGUACAACGUGAACCAUUUUUAUAGCCCUUUCCAUUUGUUCCACGGACUUGGAAGUACAUAUAAUUUUUUUUAAAUAUCAUCUGCAUCAAGUUACUUCGAGCCGUUUAAAUCUACCAAAUCGAAAAUCCAGUCGAGACUGGACCGGCCAUUGCUUUGCGCCUGCGAUUUUUUUCAGUCGGCAACGGAAUUGCCUAAGCAAACAGUUUUUUAUUAAGUUUAAAAACUGCACUCAAUAGUUCUGUUAUAAAUAUGAUCACUUUGAUCAUUAAACAAGCCCCCUUAAUUACUUCUGCUGCUGACUGUAAAUGAACAAUGACGAACGUCUAUCGCAUUUUGCUUCUGGGGCAGGCAAAAUUAACUUUAAUACUAAGUUUUAGAGCAGUGGCUUACAUUUUGUAUGAUGUAUGCGAUAUCAGAACAAAGGCAUAACUACCGUUGCGAAUUAGUAAUCCGCGCUAAUGUCAGAUAGGCACGAACCUAAUGUUUAAAAUUUAUGCGAACAUUUUCCGUAUUAAAAACAUCUGUCAACGAAAUAAUUUAAUAUUGGAAUUAUUAACUAGUUGGAAAUGAAUUAGACAAAAUAACUUUUGAAUAGAGUGGGUAUGUAACACUUAUGCUUAAAUAUAACUGGGAGUAUAUCUUCGCAUGUAACGUAUGUGUUACUUGACAAUAAUGUUAAGAUAGAUGGUUUUAGCCCAAACCCUCUCGCGCAUGAGAGGAGCCUGUGCCCAGCAGUGCGACGUAGAUAGGCUGAUAUUUAAAAAAAUGGUUUGGUAACGGGUCAAAAAUGAGUUGUCUUUGCAACGUAAAAUAAAUAAUGACGAGCAAAGAUAACCAUACAAGUGUUUAAUCUUUUGAACGCUUUAUGUUAUAAACACAAACAUCACUCAAAACGCCAAGGUUCCGGGCGCAAGCGAGCUAAUGUAAACCUUACUUGAAAGUGUGAAGGUUACUUUUACAGCGUCCGCCAUAACACCUACAGUUGUCCUUGGCGCUGUGGGCACGACUAGUAACGAUGACUUCAGGUGUACUUGGCGUUCAAAAGUUUAAAUUUAA